UUAUUAAGCACCUGCUGUGUGUCAGGCCCAUGUUAAGCACCGGAGACAUAGAGAUGAAAUAGCCAGGGCCCCCCUAAGCCUGAUGGUGAAUUCACACAUGAAACCGGAUGCAAGGUGGGUGGCAGGAGGAACACAGGCAGGGGGUGGUACUGCAGCAGACAGCAGGGGAACUCUCUGCUCUGGUUUAGGGAGAGCAGAGUUUGAGACUUCCUGGAACACGGCACAUCUUAGCCGAGUCUUAGGGAAUGAAUGGGACAAAGACAAGUAAGGGGUUGGGUAUGAAGAGUGCUUCAGGCAGAAGGACCGGCAUGAGCAAAGGCCGGGAAGUGAGAUGCUUUGGAGGUAGCAUGGAGUGGGUAACUGGUCCAGGUUGCCACCGGCUGCCUUCCUCCCAGGAAGAGUGCAGAGGCUCCCUCCUGAAGCUAAGCAGAGGUCCCUCUGACAACUGCAAAUAAGUGACUGAGGCAGAGAUUCCAAUCAAUGGAAGUUUAUUCAGCCCAAGUUUGAGGACACGCCUGGGAAAAGUACAAACCACAGAGGAAGUGCACACUGCGCCAUGACUGCCAUGACCGCUGAGCCGUGACUGCAGAUCCUGACAUUUGGGUUCGCUAGCUGCCCUCGUUGAAAGGGCAGGCCUGCCUGCCGCUUGGCUUUUGGGAAUUCUAAAAAAAGAGUUUGAGAAGCCCCCAGGACUACUGUUGUGGACCCCUAGGGGCCCAGGAUCCCUAAACAAGGAACAGCUGUUUAAGAGAGCAAAUAUACCCCUGGGUGUUGGGGUUCAGCCGCACAGACCACCCUGCAACUAAGUAUCUUUCAGAGCCAAGAGGACUUGAUAAGGUAGCCCUCCUUCUUCUCAGCUCCCUGGCAGGGAGGAGGACCCUGAGAUCCGCACAGCUCCUGCUGUCUACUUGGGUCACACUUUCACCUCCUCAGCAUUUCCAGACCUGAGCCCUCCUCUGCAGAAGUGGCACCCCUUGGGCCAGGAAGAAUGAAGACUGGGGGGUGGGGAGGCAAGAUUUAGGCAUUUUGGUGUGAAAGGUCUCUCAACAUGGGAGAAUGGUUUCUAUCUCAUUCCUGCUCCCUGGGGACAGCAGCAAAGCACAAGGCAGCAGCCAUGUCUUGCUCAGAGGAGCCGCAGGGUACUCCCCACCCACCCCUGCCAGACCUUCAGAGCACACCCCUCACUGUGCUCCUCCUGUGCCGUGGGAGCUCCAAGAAGACUGCCUGGAAGGAGAAACUCAGGUCACUAAUUUCUCUGGGAACAGGUCAGGCGGGGAUGGAAUUCAGGAACACCCCUGUGGGGCACCGUGUGGCCUCCUUCUGGAAUGUGUUGCCCAAGGAAUGUUUCCUCCUGUGACUUGUGUCAUUUCCUCUUCAGAGCCAAUCAUUAACCAUA